UACGUAGGUGGCGAGCGUUGUCCGGAUUUACUGGGCGUAAAGAGCGCGCAGGCGGUCGUUCAAGUCGCGUGUGAAAGCCCCCGGCUCAACUGGGGAGGGUCACGCGAUACUGAUCGACUCGAAGGCAGGAGAGGGUAGUGGAAUUCCCGGUGUAGUGGUGAAAUGCGUAGAGAUCGGCAGGAACACCAAGGGAGAAGUCAGCCACCUGGGCAUGUGCUGACGCUGAGGUGCGAAAGCGUGGGGAGCGAACUGG
rnacentral:rRNA from 1 species